rnacentral:lncRNA from 1 species
AUGAGGGCCAGAAAGCAGAGAGCAGGCAGCACCGUAUUCACAUUGCUGCAGCGGAAAGCACGUGAUGCACACAAAGGUGAUGGAGCAGUCAUCCUAAAUGUGCAGCACUGGGGCUCCCACAGAACCCGGAUCGAGAAACGCUGCUCUACAUCAGCUGUCAUCUGUUUCAGCACCGCGGACAGCGACCAUCCAAACGCAAGACUCGAGAACACAAGCCCUCAAAAACACUUCAGGUCAACUUGCCACUCAAUUACGCUGCGGGGCCCAUUGAAACCAUGUUUUAGUGGGAUUUCUACACUACAGCAGCUGAACUAGUGUUUCUGAGCACAGCGUCUGUGCGGUGGCUCGAAACUGCAAAGAAACCUCAUAAAGACACAUUCAAUUAAAUUGUUUCACUGUAAGGUAGCCUAUAUGAGACCCCUGACGAGAACAAUUACUGCACACAAUUAUAUUACUUACUGCGUCGUGCAGGCUCUUUUGGGUACGGUCUGUGGAGAUGGUCCUUGAGGGAUGCUUGAUAUAGCCAACGUGUGCGUGUGUGUGUGUGUGUGUGCGCGCGUGUGUACGUGUGCGUACUAGUAAGACGACAGGUAAAUAAAUAUGCUCUUUUAAUUGCUCGCGCUAGGCGUUCACUACGCACAGCUUCAUAUUAAACUUCAGUCUCCGUGCGCGUGAAAUUGCUCUUGUACGAUUAAUAUUGCGUUAUUCGCUUGUGUGCGAGAUAAACCUUGCACAAUUGCUUUUAAAUAUUCAGGAGAUUAAAUAACAGUCGAAUGUUUUUAAUAAAAAAAAUAAAUAAAUAAUAAGAAUUAGAAAACAAGAUAUACAGUUGUGCUUCGCGUAAAUGUAUUGCUCGAUUACAGCGACUGACAACAAAUAGAAUAAAGCGCACACGCAAAAAAGAAGCGAUUGCGAGUCGUAUUAGACGUAGACACACUAUUGUUUACACACGUCCAAAAGACUGUCGUUUUUCGCAAAUCGUACGAACAUCAGACGCUAGCGUACUUGCCACGAUUCCGUCGCCUAAAAGACUUGCAGGUAAAAAAUAAAUACCAAAUAUCGAUGGGAAUUAAACGGCUCAUGAGAGUAUCCUCUGUGGAAGCCAGUCAGGACUCAAUAUAUAUGAUGUGAUAUCGGGGAAAAAAGAAACACGGUAGCUACACACGGACGACGACGACGACGACGGCUCGCGGAGCCUCCCUCUCCUUCCUCGCGCUCUCGGUAACGUUACUGUCCCUCGCUCGCUCGCGACGUCACAGGGCAGUGCGCCUCUCUCUCAUCUGCAGUCUGUAGUGUGCAGUCUGCACAUGAAGACACCGCCGGCGAAUAGAGUGGGAAUUAAAGCGCUCAUUGGCUGACGGAAAGACAGAAGGUGCGCUCAUAUCCCAGAUAAAUAGUGCAGACCUCCUCCCUGCGCAGGGCGCAUAAGCCAAUGGAAGCGCGUGGUCUCCAGA